CCGUGUGGACAGGAGGCUGGUCCUGCGGGGAAGGGCAGCUGACAAGGCUGGCCUGGGCUGGGCUGGUUCGGACCUGCGGACCCCAUAUCUGGGCCAGGCCAGGGCUGCUCCGAUCACCAGGGGGACGUGGUGGCGUGGGCAAGACCAGCCAACCCACGGUGCCCCCAGGCCACCCACAUCCUCUGGUUCUCCUUCUUGACUGCCCCUCCAGGGAGGCGUCCCUUCCGUCUUUCCAAAGGCUCCUCGAUCCUCAGCCUGCAAGCCUCAACUUGGACGUUGCCACCUUGGAAAAUUUCCUGUGACUCCAGGCUGUCCCCACUCUCGGCUGAUUCUCACUCAACACCUCGCUGUUUUGUUUGGUUUUGUUUUGUUUUAAUUAGCCAUGUAUAUUUUUAUACUGUGGUAGCAUACAUCUAAAAUUCACCAUUGUAACCGU